rnacentral:rRNA from 1 species
UCUACGGGAGGCAGCAGUGGGGAAUAUUGGACAAUGGGCGAAAGCCUGAUCCAGCCAUGCCGCGUGUGUGAAGAAGGCCUUUUGGUUGUAAAGCACUUUAAGCGAGGAGGAGGCUACUUGGAUUAAUACUCUAGGAUAGUGGACGUUACUCGCAGAAUAAGCACCGGCUAACUCUGUGCCAGCAGCCGCGGUAAUACAGAGGGUGCGAGCGUUAAUCGGAUUUACUGGGCGUAAAGCGUGCGUAGGCGGCUUUUUAAGUCGGAUGUGAAAUCCCUGAGCUUAACUUAGGAAUUGCAUUCGAUACUGGGAAGCUAGAGUAUGGGAGAGGAUGGUAGAAUUCCAGGUGUAGCGGUGAAAUGCGUAGAGAUCUGGAGGAAUACCGAUGGCGAAGGCAGCCAUCUGGCCUAAUACUGACGCUGAGGUACGAAAGCAUGGGGAGCAAACAGGAUUAGAUACCCUGGUAGUCCAUGCCGUAAACGAUGUCUACUAGCCGUUGGGGCCUUUGAGGCUUUAGUGGCGCAGCUAACGCGAUAAGUAGACCGCCUGGGGAGUACGGUCGCAAGACUAAAACUCAAAUGAAUUGACGGA